GUGGGGAAUAUUGGACAAUGGGCGCAAGCCUGAUCCAGCCAUGCCGCGUGAGUGAUGAAGGCCUUAGGGUUGUAAAGCUCUUUUGUCCGGGAAGAUAAUGACUGUACCGGAAGAAUAAGCCCCGGCUAACUUCGUGCCAGCAGCCGCGGUAAUACGAAGGGGGCUAGCGUUGUUCGGAAUCACUGGGCGUAAAGCGCACGUAGGCGGACCAUUAAGUCAGGGGUGAAAGCCUGGAGCUCAACUCCAGAACUGCCUUUGGUACUGAUGGUCUCGAGUAUGGAAGAGGUUGGUGGAACUGCGGGUGUAGAGGUGAAAUUCGUAGAUAUUCGCAAGAACACCGGUGGCGAAGGCGGCCAACUGGUCCAUUACUGACGCUGAGGUGCGAAAGCGUGGGGAGCAAACAGGAUUAGAUACCCGUGUAGUCC
rnacentral:rRNA from 1 species